UGGUGGUGUACCUGUUGAUACAAGGUUAUAAUGAACCUUAUGAUUUUUGUGCUCAGUUUCAGAAAUUAUUACAUUCUAUUACAAUUUACUACUGCCCAAAUUCUUCAUUAUGUUCACUUAUAUUUCAUAUGUAUUGGUCACUUCGUAAUUCAGCAUGCUCAUGCUCAAAAGGUUCUUGUAGUUCUAACUUGAUGCUAAUUGGCAGAAAAUGCUGCCACUUUGAUAUACUGGAUAUGUUACAUAUAAAAGAGUUUUGUAGUACCAGGUUUAUACUACCAGUUGAAUGUCUGAUUCCAUCACAUAAAUGUUAAUUUUUUUUUCCCUUUUUGGGUGGAUGGGGGGUGGGGGAUUUUAUGCAGUGAAUUGGAGCUUAAACCACA
rnacentral:misc_RNA from 1 species